rnacentral:rRNA from 1 species
UACAGAGGGGGCAAGCGUUGUUCGGAAUUACUGGGCGUAAAGGGCGCGUAGGCGGCCCGCUAAGUCGAACGUGAAAUCCCCGAGCUCAACUCGGGAACUGCGUCCGAUACUGGCGGGCUUGAAUCCGGGAGAGGGAUGCGGAAUUCCAGGUGUAGCGGUGAAAUGCGUAGAUAUCUGGAGGAACACCGGUGGCGAAGGCGGCGUUCUGGACUGCAACUUACACUGAGGAACGAAAGCCAGGGGAGCAAACGGG